rnacentral:rRNA from 1 species
GACAGAGGUGCCGAGCGUUAGGCGGAAUCACUGGGCUUAAAGCGUGUGUAGGCGGACCGUUAAGUACCUUGUGAAAUCCCACGGCUCACCCGUGGAACGGCUGGGUAUACUGGCGGUCUUGGGCCACCUAGGGGCAGAUGGAACAGACGGUGGAGCGGUGAAAUGCGUAGGAUAUCGUCUGGAACGCCAAAGGUGAAAACAGUCUGCUGGGGGUGUGCCGACGCUGGAGACACGAAAGCCAGGGAGCGAACGGG